rnacentral:rRNA from 1 species
GAGAGUUUGAUCCUGGCUCAGAUUGAACGCUGGCGGCAUGCUUACGACAUGCAAGUCGAACGGCAGCACGGGAGCUUGCUCCUGGUGGCGAGUGGCGAACGGGUGAGUAAUACAUCGGAACGUACCCUGAAGUGGGGGAUAACGUAGCGAAAGUUACGCUAAUACCGCAUAUUCUGUGAGCAGGAAAGAGGGGGAUCGCAAGACCUCUUGCUUUAGGAGCGGCCGAUGUCGGAUUAGCUAGUUGGUGAGGUAAAGGCUCACCAAGGCGACGAUCCGUAGCGGGGUCUGAGAGGAUGAUCCGCCACACUGGGACUGAGACACGGCCCAGACUCCUACGGGAGGCAGCAGUGGGGAAUUUUGGACAAUGGGCGCAAGCCUGAUCCAGCCAUGCCGCGUGAGUGAAGAAGGCCUUCGGGUUGUAAAGCUCUUUCGGUGGGGAAGAAAUUGCUUCGGUUAAUACCUGGAGUAGAUGACGGUACCCGCAUAAGAAGCACCGGCUAACUACGUG